rnacentral:tRNA from 1 species
GGACAGGUGGAUGGCAUCAGGAAAUUGGUUCGUAGUUUGGUUCCAGCUUCCCGAACGUCAUGCAUCCAGACUGUAUCGUUUGCGCCUUUCGGGGUGCGUUGGUUCGAAUCCAACCCUGUCCA